rnacentral:rRNA from 1 species
GAUGAACGCUGGCGGCGUGCCUAAUACAUGCAAGUCGAGCGAACAGAUAAGGAGCUUGCUCCUUUGACGUUAGCGGCGGACGGGUGAGUAACACGUGGAUAACCUACCUAUAAGACUGGGAUAACUUCGGGAAACCGGAGCUAAUACCGGAUAACAUAUUGAACCGCAUGGUUCAAUAGUGAAAGGCGGCUUUGCUGUCACUUAUAGAUGGAUCCGCGCCGUAUUAGCUAGUUGGUAAGGUAACGGCUUACCAAGGCAACGAUACGUAGCCGACCUGAGAGGGUGAUCGGCCACACUGGAACUGAGACACGGUCCAGACUCCUACGGGAGGCAGCAGUAGGGAAUCUUCCGCAAUGGGCGAAAGCCUGACGGAGCAACGCCGCGUGAGUGAUGAAGGUCUUCGGAUCGUAAAACUCUGUUAUCAGGGAAGAACAAAUGUGUAAGUAACUGUGCACAUCUUGACGGUACCUGAUCAGAAGGCCACGGCUAACUACGUG